UCUAUAGCUCUGCCUGAACUGUCGUCCAAUUGGUUUACAAGUCCGUGGCUGAAGUGACAGGCCAUCAAAAACUGUACAGUGUGACUGAUUCGGAGACGGCCCUCAACACUCGCCCAGUCGUGUCGAGAGGAUCGGUGUCUUUGCAGAUUACACGGAAUUGAGCACCCGGGCCAGACUGACACUUUCCGGAGCCUGCCCUAGACGGAACUCGAGCCGAGGAAUCAUAGGUCCAGGCGGUGUCGAAAUGGGUCUAUAGCUCUGCCUGAACUGUCGUCCAAUUGGUUUACAAGUCCGGGCUGAAGUGACAGGCCAUCAAAAACUAUACAGUGUGACUGAUUCGGAGACGGCCCUCAACACUCGCCCAGUCGUGUCGAGAGGAUCGGUGUCUUUGCAGAUUACACGGAAUUGAGCACCCGGGCCAGACUGACACUUUCCGGAGCCUGCCCUAGACGGAACUCGAGCCGAGGAAUCAUAGGUCCAGGCGGUGUCGAAAUGGGUCUAUAGCUCUGCCUGAACUGUCGUCCAAUUGGUUUACAAGUCCGGCUGAAGUGACAGGCCAUCAAAAACUGUACAGUGUGACUGAUUCGGAGACGGCCCUCAACACUCGCCCAGUCGUGUCGAGAGGAUCGGUGUCUUUGCAGAUUACACGGAAUUGAGCACCCGGGCCAGACUGACACUUUCCGGAGCCUGCCCUAGACGGAACUCGAGCCGAGGAAUCAUAGGUCCAGGCGGUGUCGAAAUGGGUCUAUAGCUCUGCCUGAACUGUCGUCCAAUUGGUUUACAAGUCCGGCUGAAGUGACAGGCCAUCAAAAACUGUACAGUGUGACUGAUUCGGAGACGGCCCUCAACACUCGCCCAGUCGUGUCGAGAGGAUCGGUGUCUUUGCAGAUUACACGGAAUUGAGCACCCGGGCCAGACUGACACUUUCCGGAGCCUGCCCUAGACGGAACUCGAGCCGAGGAAUCAUAGGUCCAGGUGUGACAAAAGACUUAAAGCUCAUGUCUGACGAUGACUUUUUUUAGUCAGGAAGCCAAGUGUGUUGUUUUUCCAUGCAAGCGAGCCCUUUUGUUGGGUCAAAUGACAUCAGCAUUGCUGCUUCUACAUGGAUUUUACCUAAAAUGUGCAA